rnacentral:lncRNA from 1 species
GUCAGAGGUUUUCUUUCUAUGAUGACGUGGCAAAUGGAGAGGAGAGGGAGUGGGGCCACAAGAAGCAUCACAAGCACCACCAUGUUGAAGGAGAAGAGGAGCAUGAGCAUGAGCAUGAGCAUGAGCAUGAGGAGCAUGAUCAUGAGCAUGAUCACGAGGAGCAUGAGCAUGAGCAUGAGGAGCAUGAUCAUGAGCAUGAUCACGAGGAGCAUGGGCACGGGCACGGGCACGGGCACGAUCACGAGCAUGAGCAUGGGCACGAUCACGAGGAGCACGGGCACGGGCAUGAGGAGCACGGGCACGAGCAUGAGCACGAGGAGCAUGAGCAUGAGCAUGGGCAUGGGCAUGGACAU